UGGGGAAUAUUGCGCAAUGGGCGAAAGCCUGACGCAGCGACGCCGCGUGAGGGAUGAAGGUCCUCGGAUCGUAAACCUCUGUCAGGAGGGAAGAACCGCCACGGUGCUAAUCAGCCGUGGUCUGACGGUACCUCCAAAGGAAGCACCGGCUAACUCCGUGCCAGCAGCCGCGGUAAUACGGAGGGUGCGAGCGUUAAUCGGAAUCACUGGGCGUAAAGCGCACGUAGGCUGCUUGGUAAGUCAGGGGUGAAAGCCCGCGGCUCAACCGCGGAAUUGCCUUUGAUACUGCCGAGCUAGAGUCCGGGAGAGGGUAGUGGAAUUCCAGGUGUAGGAGUGAAAUCCGUAGAGAUCUGGAGGAACAUCAGUGGCGAAGGCGACUACCUGGACCGGUACUGACGCU
rnacentral:rRNA from 1 species